GGCGGCGACGCGAGGAACGAAACUUCCCAAAGCGACUCACGGAUCCGAGGCCCGGAAACGGCCCAAAAGCGGGCCCGAACCAGCUGGAAACCCAUUUCGUGGGUUGCUGGUCGGGGCUGGCCGGGGCUGCUCCGGCGGCCAAAACGGUGAGGGAAGGCCGGCGGAAGGUGAGGGGGACGCCGGGGAGCUGCGAGGUGGCCGAACGGAGGUAGGCGGUGGCCGGAGGUGG
rnacentral:lncRNA from 1 species